GAACCGCUCUGAAACUGCUGACACAGCAGAAGGGAGAAGCAGCAGCGGCGUGAUCCCCGGCACGGCAUCGCACACGGGCCAGCGGGAGGAGGCAUGUAGCCUUGGGACAGCGGAGGUGACCCAGGGCUGAAGGCAACCAAGUGGACUGCGACUCAAGGUUUGAGGGGGAUCUAUCUCACAAAUGAGUACAAACCUUGCACAUGCCAGCACUGGAUUUCUUCUCUGGAGGAGAAUCUCCUGGCCUGCAUGUACCUUUGGCUCUCCAAAAUCAUAUUUGAAUGAAGAAAAUCUUCCUUCAGCAGAAGCAAGGACUUGUCCUGGUUGGAAGCAGGAGCAGGGAGGCAGUCUGAUGGGGAUAUGCCUGGUCAGAGCUACAAGGAGCUGCUGCUGCUGCUGGAUGGACUUCAACUUUGUCUUGAUGUGGAGGAGAGCAAGAAUGCUGUCAAGGCCAGGCAUCAGUCUUUCUGUUGCAAACUCCAGGCAUGAUUGGUUUGGGUCCAAUUCUUCAAAGUUCUUUGCAGACUAAGUGGCUCUACUGAGGUGACUCUUUGGGAAGGUGCCUUGCUCUGCCACCUCCCUCUUAGGCUGGAUGGCUCCUUGCGUCUCCCAGCCAGCUGAGCAUGCUGUGCAAAACUGCCAUCUCCAGCACUGUGCACAGAGCACCGUGUAAACAAAAGGCUGUAAGCAUGCUGCCUCACAGCCUCCAGAGCAAAGGUGGCCCCAGGGCACUUGCCAUGGAUUUUCCACCCACAGGUGCCACCACCCUUCCGGAAGGAAGCAGUCAGCCUUGUUUUGAGCAGCUGCCUUGCAAAUGCAUCCUCUCUAGCAUGCAGCUGCCUGACCCGGGACAAAGCAACCUGUGGCCUCAAGGAGUGAAACACAGCAUUGAAAACUGAAAGUGUUGCACACAGACAGAGCAAGGGAUACUCUCCACCAGCUCCUGUAACAAGCACCUUCCUGCUUUUCAGUCUUUGUCAGGAAAAGGAAUGAUCUCUAUAGUUUAUUAUCCUGCCUGGUGCUGCCUUUGCAUCUGCUGCAGAGCAGAAAUUCAAGGAGAUUGAUGCAGACCUUGAUCUGCUUUGUGGAAAUACUUCUACUGUUUUCAGGUUAGGUAAAGGUGUUUUGUUAACGGAUCCUACCUGCUGACACUAAAGAACAUGAGAUUCUCUCAGAUUUUUUGCCAGCAUUCCUCAUACUUUUGUGUUGCUUCAAACAGGAAACAAUGCUCAUGGAAAAGCUUCUAGCAGCUCCAGAAUGAGUCCCUGGAAACUUGGUGAGCUAGUUGCAAUGCAGACUUCAGAAGUGCUCUUACCACAUGUGCUACCUCUUGGAAGCCAAGGAGGGAUUCCUAGGGCCAGGAAGAGAGAGUGUAUGCCACCAUGUGGCAGUAGAUUCCCAAGUGUGGAGCUCAGGAAAGCUUCAGGCAGGACCAGCUCAUUACUCAGGCAGGAGGAUGGCCUGGCCAUCACAGGCAGAACUUCAGUGAGGAGCUAUGACCUUCUGUGCAUGGACAGGGAAGUGCUGUACAGGCAGCCUGUCCCAUCUUCAAGGGCACCAGCCAUCCCCUCCAUGAAGAUAAGAUUUAUUCUGCAAUUGAGUAGCCCUGAAAUUUACCAUGGAAGACAAUAUUGAUCUGAGAAUUGUGUUCUAGUACCCAAGACCCAUUAUUCACAGUGACAGCCUGCAGAGCUGAAAAUAAACAAAGAACAAAGUCAAAUCAAGUAGCUUUGGACAGAAACCACCCCGCCUCCAGGCAGAAAACAACUUCUAAGCAAGAGAGACAACUUCUGAGGAAGAAACUCUUUUGGAAGCACAUUAUCCUACUGACGCAAAGCUUCUUGUCUUUCUCUCAGAAGCAGCUAAAAACCUGCCUACUAGAAAACUUUGGGCAAGAUGGAGGCUUACCUUCUUAUCGUCUACAUUU